UGGGGAAUCUUGCGCAAUGGGCGAAAGCCUGACGCAGCGACGCCGCGUGGGGGAUGAAGCAUUUCGGUGUGUAAACCCCUUUCGACUGGGACGAAUGCCUCGCAAGAGGAGUGACGGUACCAGUAGAAGAAGCCCCGGCUAACUACGUGCCAGCAGCCGCGGUAAGACGUAGGGGGCCAGCGUUGUUCGGAAUUACUGGGUGUAAAGGGCGCGCAGGCGGCCAUUCAAGUCAGGCGUGAAAGCCCCGGGCUUAACCUGGGAGGUGCGUCUGGGACUGGGUGGCUAGAGAUCGGGAGAGGAGAGUGGAAUUCCCAGUGUAGAGGUGAAAUUCGUAGAUAUUGGGAAGAACACCGGUGGCGAAGGCGGCUCUCUGGACCGAUACUGACGCUGAGGCGCGAAAGCGUGGGGAGCAAAC
rnacentral:rRNA from 1 species